UAACCGCGAUUCAGGAACUGUGCUUUGCCUCCCGAUGCCUAAGAAGUGUUACACAAGGACGUAAUUGUUUCCAGAACUUAAAAUUGGAUUUUGCAACCCUACUGCUAGGGACAUGUUAGUCCUGGAGUAAACACAGUAAAUGAAGAUAACAUUGAUGUAUAUAUGACUGGAAAAACAUAUGUGAAGCUGGAUGGGACGAGGUUCACUGGAUUAAUAUGGCUGAGAACAGAGAUCAGUGGACAUUCAACGUUAAAAUAUGGUUGAAGAAGAAGCACUCUGAGCACUGGGCUGCAGCAGGCAUGGAGCAAUCAAAGCCAUUUAUUGAAUGGUCUUCAGAGAAAUUGUCCAGGAACAUAUUAGCCUCAGACCAGAAAUAUUGCAGGCUGCUGCUGGGGAUAUCGAUUGGUCACUGUUCAAUGAGGCACCACCUAUGUAUCACAGACCUCUUGGAAAACACCAUAUGCAGAAAAUACAGUUCAAUUUCAGAUCUCUUCCUUGGGAUUGCUGAAUGACUACCAAACUCUGAAAUCUGUCACCUUCAGAGAUUGCUAUAAAGAAAUGGUGCUGGAAUCGUCAUCAAGACUGGAAAUUUGUUGCUGAACAAUGUCUCGAGUUAGUUCAAUCUACAUAGUUCACCCAUCUUCGUGAAACAGUUUCCUCAGUACUGACUUCAGGAUUUACAUCCCAACCUCAUCUCGCCUUACAAGGUGUCCCAUGAGGCGUGACCGCUGUCCAUGACGUCUGCCUAGCGAACAGUGUCAGGGAUAUUCGUAUCUGGCUCCAGUUUCGUCAAGAUUUUCCUCAGUUACCACAGCAUCCUGCCUAUAGAAUAAUCCUUGUCUAAGAAAGAUCCAGUUGAACUCACUUUCUUCACGAGUUCUGAAAUCUUUGAUGACGCUGUGACUCGAGC